rnacentral:rRNA from 1 species
GACGAACGCUGGCGGCGUGCUUAACACAUGCAAGUCGAACGGAAAGGCCCUGCUUUUGUGGGGUGCUCGAGUGGCGAACGGGUGAGUAACACGUGAGUAACCUGCCCUUGACUUUGGGAUAACUUCAGGAAACUGGGGCUAAUACCGGAUAGGAGCUCCUGCUGCAUGUUGGGGGUUGGAAAGUUUCGGCGGUUGGGGAUGGACUCGCGGCUUAUCAGCUUGUUGGUGGGGUAGUGGCUUACCAAGGCUUUGACGGGUAGCCGGCCUGAGAGGGUGACCGACCACAUUGGGACUGAGAUACGGCCCAGACUCCUACGGGAGGCAGCAGUGGGGAAUAUUGCACAAUGGGCGGAAGCCUGAUGCAGCAACGCCGCGUGCGGGAUGACGGCCUUCGGGUUGUAAACCGCUUUCGCCUGUGACGAAGCGUGAGUGACGGUAAUGGGUAAAGAAGCACCGGCUAACUACGUG